UCAAGUUGUCAUUACUACUGUUAUUCUUGUUAUUUAAAAAGCUGUACAGGUCCAGGAAGGAAGGACUGUCUUGACAGGAAUUCAGACAAAAAAGAUCCAGGGUUGUGGCCAAUCUCAAAUUAGUAUGAGGGUCUAAUAUGGAUGGUGAGAUCUGUGACAUAUAAAAGAAGGCAGUGAUCCCUGGAGCCAACGUGGGUUCACCAAGACCGGGCACAGCUCUUAGGUUCUUGACAGCUUAAUGACUCAUGGGUAAAGAAAACGAGCCAGCAUGGGUGGAGAGGAAUCUGUGAUUUAUUGAGCACCAAUUGUGUGCUGGACACUUCAUGCAUAUGGUUUUAUUUAAUCCUCAUGAGCUGUGGAUUAAACAAGACGUGACAAUCUCCAUUUUACUGAUGAGAAACUGAGUCUCCGGGAAGUGACUUGCCCAAGGUGGUUGGAGCUAGGAUUCAAAUCUGGAUCUGUCUAACCCUUUCUGCCAUAUCAUACUGUCUCCUAAGACGCUGGGUAGAGUCCCUCGUGGCUCUUGAGGACAUGAAGGAUGUCUGAGAGGGCACAAAGGGGGCUCCCAUUGGGCCAAACAAUAGCCAUGAAAUGUUCACGUAAGUGUAACCAGGUCAGUCUACAAAAGGCCUCUAGACACUGCCAUGGGACUGUCCACCCUGCUUUGAUCAGUCUAUGCCAAGGACCUAUAAGAAGACACGGAGGGUGCAGACCUAUAAAAGUUGGAGGUGGUAGAAAGCUCCAAGGGACAGAGAAAAUCUCAGCAGAAUCAGGAUUUAGAAAGAUCUUGACAGGCUGGCGUGGCAAGGUGAAUUUAGCAUGAAGAAAUAUCACAGGGAAAAAUGCUGAGGCCCAUCUUGACUACAGGAAAAAUUGUAGAAGGAUGGGCAGCUCAAGAGAAGGAUUUAGAAGCUCAAGUGUCAGUAAGUUCAGUAUGAGUUGGUAGGCUACAUUGAUAGAAAUAUGUUGUUUGGGACAAGGGAGGGGGGCCUUUCUCUAGCCUCAGUUCACACUCUGCCCUGGGGCAGUUUCUACUGUACAUAUUUGAAGGUCAUGUGCUAUUUUCUGUUUUUCCAGUUCUUUCCCUUUCUUUUCAAGUUCUUAGGGGAGGCAGAGUCCUUCCGGAGUUUGACCCUUGGAUUCCAUCCAGAGCAGCCUCCAAAAUGACACCUUUGAAGUUGUGUAUCGAGCUGGGAGAUGUAAAGGGAGGAGAAGAAAGAAGAUGAAGAGACACCAGCCAGCCUUGAGUGGACAUCCUGCCUGGUGAAACUGAACAAGACACUGACCGCAUGACUAGUGACUGACCUGGGGCAGAGAGAGCAACGCAUCCUGUGUUGUCCCAGACAUACGGAAUUGUUUGGGCAAACGUAGGAAUGUUACCAAGAGGCAAAUUUUGGCUCAGUUCAAGGAAGAACUUUGAAAGCAAUUGCAGAUGUUUAACCCAUGAAAGAGGUGGUGAAGGAAUUCGAGUUCCCAGAGGCCUCAAGCAGAAUGUGGACUUAGCAGGACUCCUGCAGAAGGAAGCCAGGUUCCAUGAGUCCUGGGAGAGGGGCUCCUUGGCUGCCCUGCAGUGGUACUCCUCCCUCAGAGCCUGGAGCCUAGCUUGUAUUGCUGUGUACGGCACCCAGGCGGACUUGGGAUGCUUGAAAUGAGCAGUCUGCGAAGGUAAGAUGUGAACACACGAAUAUCCUCAUUAAGUCCCAAAUACACAUCCCAAACUUUACAUAACAGGAGCAGCAGCUGGAGACGCCCACAGCCCUAAUUGCUUUUCUGUACUAAGAGAACGUCUUCUCUUCAGCUCUGCUUCUCCCAUUCAUUUAGGUAAUUACUGGAGGGAGCCAGCUGCGGGAGGCUGGCGGGCAGGCAGGCGCAUUUGUAACACCACCUAAUGGGUGCCGCCAUGAGGAUGGGGUGCCGCGGGAGCUGGAGCCUGUCUGUGCUCUUCAUGGGGAGUAGGGUGCUGAGGAUGGGAGGCCAGCUGCUCGGCUUCAGUCCUGAUCUCAAUGGGCCCAAACUGAGCUGCCGGGAUGGAAUGCCUCUCCUCCCAGGGACUUGACAAGCACGAUUCCAAGAAAGGACAGAUCCAGAGCCAGGUACAGGCAUGGGGAAGGGAAUGCAUGGAAGAAUCGACUCUGCUCAACAAAUUGCUCAAGAUGCUUUCUCUGAAUCUCAUGCUGGGCUGGGGCACUGAGGCCGAUCAAUCAGGAAGAGCCUACUCUCUAAGCUCACAGGCCAGGGGAGGAAGCAGUCACGGACCAGAAAGGGCUGGGAUCAGAGGAAGCUGUCGGACUGGGGUGUACAGAGGACACAGAGACUGGCUCUGUCUUGGUGACAGGGGAUCUGGGAAGAUGUCUUGGAAUAAGACAUAGUAGGAUUGGGCCUUGGAAGUGUGUGUGACCCUGCAGUUGGUGAUCCCUUCUGCAAAAUGGGGCCAAGGUAAACUUCCAGGCCCCAAAGUGACAUCUGGUUUGUCCCCUUCCUUCCUGGUCCCUAGUAACCACCUGGAAAUCAUGAGGAUCCUCUUGCGGUUUCUUUGCAGCUGGAGCCAGCCUGGAACCUGGGUCCUUGGUGGUUGGCCAGGGUGGGUGCCCUGGAAGAGUCAGCUUUGAGCCUGUCUUCGGAGGGGCCCUAGGAGGGCUGUGGCCUAGGCGCUCUGCCCACCAGGCUUCCUGUGGGUGGCAAGUGAAACUUUUCCUCUUGGUUCUCUCCCAGAAGCCAGCUUCAUUCCCCCAGCCCCAAGUGGCGGCUCCUUGGGCCGGAAACAAUGUGCUUUCUCCACGCCUUAGAGUGGAAGUCAGCAGUUUGGCACCGUCUGGCUGGCAGCCUCCACCGGCUUCCUUUGGCACUUUAUUGGCAAAGGCGGUGACAUUUCUUUCAGUUGGGUGGGUGGAGCUGUUAUGCAAACUCCCGCUCUCCUCAUUCGCCAGAUGAAUAUUCAUGACUCAGGCAAUCUGUAGCAGCCAGACUUUCCUGAGGGCGGCAGCUUUUCUUCUCUUCCUCUCUCUCUUUUUCUUUCUCCUUCUCUCCUUCCCAGCUCUUUGGAAAGCUGAAGUGCAGCUAUAUUUAAUUUACAAAUACAGAGCCAUUUAGCUUGCCUUUUGAGAUGCAGGCACUGGGGAGGAGGUGCUGGGGAAUGGGAACAGUGGUUGAGGAGUUUGGUCCUGACCCUGUGCCUCUAAGCUCCAGGGUCCAGCCCCUGGGCCCUAGAUCCUGGGAAGCUUCGUGAGUCUGGAGCUUCUUGGAGCUUGGCCUCUUGGGGCCCUCAGGGCUGCAGGUACAGCAGCUCACGCCACCCCAUUCCACACUGGCCUCUGAGGUCAACAUGGAAAUUCUCAGGCAAUGAUGCUUUCCUGCCCAAUUCAUGACCCGGGACCCACCGAUACAUCUGUUAGUGCUUCUCCCCCUCUGCUCUCCCGUUUGUCAAGGCCCACCCAGACCCUGCUCCAAGCUCUAGGUGGAAGCCCAGAAGGCACUGGAGCAUUUGCUAGUCAUUGGCUUUCCAGGGAGAGAAACAGUCCUUAUUUGGGGUCCAGUUCCUUGGGGCCACAUUACUCCCUUUCUAGGAAGGACAGGUCCCUAGCUUCCUUUGUCUCUUCCCAAAGAGGCACCCAGAACUCUGGCAGAGGGGUCAGAAUUACCAGGAUUUGCCAGGAAAUGUGGUCUUAGCGAGGAUGUGCUUGCGUGAGCACGUCUUGUGUGUGUGUAUGUAAAUAUUUACGCACAGCUUAAGUGAGUCUGUGUGCCUACAUCUAUGUUCAAGUGUCUGAGUGUGUGUCUGUAUGUGUAAGGGCGUGAAUGUGUGUGUCGCGGGAAGUCUGGGAAUGCUUGCAUAUGUGCGAAUGUGCCUCUCCAGUUAGCGUUGCGUGUGUACCUCUGGGGGGCUGGGGGUAUCGUGUGUAAAUAAGGGUGUUUCUGGGGGGCCCAGACGUGUGUGUGCGAGUGUGUAUGUAUGUUAAGUGAAUUGUAGGUGUGUGUAAAAUGAGAGUCUGGAGGAGAGAGAGAGAAUGUGCGGGCAUGUGUGUGUGUGUGUGUGUGUGUGUGUUAGGGUGUGUUUUCCUGACCUCCAUUUCCUCCCAAACCUUUUCCUCUCCAGGAAGGUGGAGGGGGACGUUUCCCCCUUUGCAAGUGUUACAGAUUCUAUCCAAGGACGUGAACAGAAGGUUUCCCAGCACAGAGCGUCCUGAAAUUACUUUAUAUUCCCCCCCUCCUUGUUUCAUCUAAUCAAAAUAGCAGCAUUAGGCUCACCCAUUCUCCCUGCCCACCCCUCAGCCCUGGGGGAGGGAGCGAGGCGGGCCAUCUUGCCUGACCCCCUUUGAGAGCACCUUGCAGGCCUGAGCCAAGGAGCUGUCUCCCAAAUCUCCUCUUUCCUCGGCGGCCCAUGCUUCAGUGGCAAGAGCCAGCUGCCUCCCUGCCUGCCAGCAACUGCCAAGCUCUUCCAGAACCCACAUCUAGGCCCGGCCUCAUUUACAAAUAUGCAAAUUUGCAUCUUUUCUGGUAUGCAAAUGGAGACAUGACAAAUAACUAAUUAGGGUCAAAAGAAGCACUCUGAACCAAUUAGUUGUAGGGUCUGUCCCUUUCUCCUGGGAGAAGACUGGGCCUUCCUGCUCCCUUCCCAGCACUGACUCCCAAAUGCCCACAUACUCUGGCAUCCUGUCUGGCUGGGGCCCUGACUGUGAAGAGCAUUGAAACAGAAGUCAGUGCAUGGGCCUCCAUCUUAACUCUGACCUAUCCAUGUGACCCUGGACUCACUUGCCUGAGUCUCAGUCUGUUCCUCUGUGAAAUGGAGCAAUGACAGUGACUAUCUUGUCCCUAACCAUCCACCCCAGCAUAGGGAGACUUGGGAGAACUUGGAUGUAAAUAGCCUUUGAAAACUGUUCUACAGGCCGGGCGCGGUGGCUCACACCUGUAAUCCUAGCACUCUGGGAGG